ensembl:lncRNA
AGGAGCUGGACAGUAAGUGUGGAUGGUUCUUUUGAGGAUUCUUCACAGAUAAGAGACUAAAAAGCUGUUAGUAACUGACAAGAGAAGGUUGCUUUUUGUGAUGGAGCAAACAGCAGCAUGUCUCUGUGCUGACCGGAAAUGUCAGGAAAGGGAGAAUUGUAAUGCGGGUGAGGCGUGAAGGGCAGAGCUGGAGCAGGUGCAUGUGAGGUCUGGCUUGAUCAGGAACACAGGGGCUGGGCUCAGUCGUCCUGGGCAGUGGGGCCAGAGUCACCCCAUGGUGUGUAGCCCGAAUUGAUCACCACUUGGCUGCCUAGUCCUUGGUGCGUGGCCAAGUCCCAGUGAGAUGCACCAUUAGUGGAGAACAGACAGAUGUCCAACAUUUUGUACUCAGCAUAGCACAUAUCAAAUCCCGGUCACAUACUGAAAUGUCAGUGUUGUGGAAAUUAGUGUAAAUAAAACAUACAAACUGGUUUCACCUGCUGCUUUCUUUCCUCCAUGUGGCACCUGAAACAUCUGGCCUCAAGUCACCGCCGGAUGGGACAGCGCUGUGGGCACAGCACUGGGAGUUCGCUGUGGUCUCUGUGGUCAACGGCCCGGGCCUGCCUGGUGCCCACUGUGGACAUCAGUUUUAUGGGAACACAGCUGUGCUCUGUCUCCUCCAGCUGCCAAAGGCCCCCACACCCCACCCUGAGUAACCUUAAAGAUGGUGGAGUAGAAGUUAGCAUCAAGUCAAAACUUCUCUGGAACCUGGAAUUGAACAACCCAGAAAAUGACUACUUAGAAAAGAUAAAGAGAAGAAGAACUUCAAGAAUCAAGAAAGAGCCUACCGGAAAGAUAAAAAUCACAAAGGAAUAGAAGACAAUGCAGGGAAAUGAACGAAGCAGUCUGAAAUGCUAACUUUGGCUCCCAGGGCUAGGAGGGGAUCCCAACUCUACAAGCACAAGGUGAACCUGGAAAGAACCAAGAAAGUCAGAAACCCCAUCAAUAAACAGCAGGCAGGCAGCACUAGCCUCAGAAAAAAAAAAAUCCAUGAUUAUUGUAGUCUGCCAUACAGGGUGGGGUUUCUCUUUGAAAGUGACUUCCUGUGUAUGGCAGGCAAAGGAGAACAAAAAAACACUGCAGUGCCACCAUGUGGUGGAGUGGUAUAAUCAGGAGACAUUUUGAGGAGGGGUUUAUUGUUUAAGAUUGAGCUACUCCAGAAAUUAGAAGUCAUAAAACAAUCACUCUUCAGGGGCUCUGGGAUAACCGUGCCACAGUGAAUGGGGAGCACACAGCCACAAGAGGCAAUUGUGGACAGAGGGAGAGCUCUUUACAGGGCCUCUGCGAAGUUUAAGCAGUGGUAAACUCAGGCUGUGGACACAUUGGUUGGCAGCUUCUUCCUCUGUGAUGAAGAGAGAGGCCUGUGUGUGUGUGUGUGUGUGUGUGUGUGUGUGUGUGUGUGUGUUUAUGAAGGAAUUGUGUUAGAGAAGGCUGGGAUUGAGCCAUGCAUAUUUCUUGUCUUUCCGUAUUUCCUUUUUCCAGCAUAGAACACAGUGGUCUUUUUUUUUUUUUUGCUUUCUCAACCUGUGGUUGGACAUUUGCCACUUUUGGGGUGUACAGACAGAGGGAGCACUGGAGGAAAUGGGGCACCUCUCAAGCCCACAGGCUGCAAAGGUACUUGGGGAUAGUAGAAGCUCUGGGUGCUCAGAAGAAAACAAACAAAAAAUAAAACCUGAGGCAGACAAAACCAUUGAAUUACCCAGCUCAGUAGGAAAGGCAGGUAGGACUCAGCAUUCACACAGAAAAGUCUAGGGGCAUAACAUUGAGUUAAAACAAUCCAUCCCAUACUUUUCUACUGUAACUUUCUGCAUUAGCAUAAUACUAGUUGGCUAUGCGUGUCAAUAGUUGCUCCUGGGGGUUACAGGAAGCACUUUUUGUGUUAACUCGCUUGGUACAAUGAAUGGCAAAGUGCAUGCACAUGUGCAAAAGUGUCAAACUGGG